rnacentral:rRNA from 1 species
AGGGAGUAUUGGACAAUGGGCGCAAGCCUGAUCCAGCCAUGCCGCGUGUGUGAAGAAGGCCUGCGGGUUGUAAAGCACUUUCAGUUGGGAAGAAAGGUUAAGGGUUAAUACCUCUUAGCAUUGACGUUACCAACAUAAGAAGCACCGGCUAACUCUGUGCCAGCAGCCGCGGUAAUACAGAGGGUGCGAGCGUUAAUCGGAAUUACUGGGCGUAAAGAGUACGUAGGGUGGUUAAAUCAGUCGGAUGUGAAAGCCCCAGGCUUAACUUGGGAAUUGCAUUCGAUACUGUUUGACUAGAGUACGGUAGAGAGAAGCGGAAUUCCUAGUGUAGCGGUGAAAUGCGUAGAUAUUAGGAAGAACACCAGUGGCGAUGGCGGCUUCUUGGAUUGAUACUGACACUGAGGUACGAAAGCGUGGGGAGCAAACA